CUGGACCCAGCUGUCAGUCUGCAAUGAGCGACAUGUCAGCUGGGCGCUUAAUUGAUUUUAAAGCACAACCAGCUUCUCUUCCACAUGGACCAAACCAAGAGAGCUCCAACGUUUCCAGUAACCAGGAUGUCCAGCAGCUCAACAAAGUGUUUCCGGUCUGUACAUGUGCAACAGUUGUUUUCACAUCUGAUCUGUUCACAACAAUUACCAUGCUGCACUUUCAGACCAAUGAAAUUCACCAUGUAUCAAACAUGGAUCUGAUAUUUGGUUUUAAGAUUUAGUUUGAUUUAAUUAUCUGUUCCAGGUUCUCCGGCAGGACAUCAUCAACUUUGUGGAAGAGGAGCUCAAUAAGUUUCAGGAGGAUCUGCGUCACCCAGAAAUGUUUGAGAGUCCGAGGGGUGUCGAGGAUGAAGGGAUCAACAGAGAGGCAUUUCGAGAGAUCACAGUGGACUUCCUGAGGAGAAUGAAUGAGGAUGUGCUGGCCGACCUGCUGCAGAGGAGUAGCCCUUCUUCAGUUUGCAAACAGAAACUCAAAUCUAACCU